CAAUAAACGAACAUAAAUUAGAUUUGGGUUAUGUUACUGUAGAUAUAAUUGAUUGACAAUAUUCAGACACUAGAAAGCAUGGUUAUCUUCUAAGGAAGUGCAGUUUAAAUAUUUUAAAAAAGUUGUCUCUGUUAUUCGGCUUUUGCAUCAUUCGGUAGAAUUCAUUUUUUCACCAUCAAGGUUUUAUAAAUUGUGUUUGACCCCUUUUCCCUGUCCUUAGCAUCCAUAUUUUCUGAAGCAUAAUAUCAUCGUUAAGAACUUAAGAUCUAAAAUACACCAUCCCAUAAAAUGAAGUAUACAAUAGACAAUAUCCUGUAAAUAAAACAAUGAUAGAAUAUCCCUAUCUUGCCUUAAACAAGUCAAAUAACCUCAUGCAACGCAGAAUCAUUUUUAAUUAUCGACUUAUUAUAACAUAUUAAAACGUACCUAGGAUAAUUUGGACUUUCUUAUUAAAAGAUAUUUUCGCCGUCCGCCUCUUGACCAUCAAAUCAUUGCAUAUCACGAUUAUAUCAUUUGCUGUAAAAUUCUAAUAAAUAUGAUACAAACAUUAAAGGAGAAAAUUGAUAUUCGUUGGUACAUGUACACAUAACAAAAAAUCUCACGAAUGCAAGGAAUUUAACAAAAC
rnacentral:lncRNA from 1 species